GCCGCAGUGGCGGAAUUGGCAGACGCACCAGACUCAAAAUCUGGCGGUGGUGACAUCGUGCCGGUUCGAGUCCGGCCUGCGGCA
rnacentral:tRNA from 1 species